rfam:Glycine soja cultivar W05 scaffold1239_22, whole genome shotgun sequence.
UUUUUAUUGGAUGAUAACUGUCACACGUGUCAUGUUUGAAUAUCAAAUCUAUAGAACAUGACAUGUAACAGUCAUCAUCCAAUAAGAACAUGACACGUGACAGUCAAUAUUC